GAUGAACGCUAGCGGCAGGCAUAAUACAUGCAAGACAACGGUAAGUUGGUAGCAAUACUGAACCUAGAGUGUCGUACAGGUGCGUAACACGUAUGCAACCUACCUUUUACAGGAGUAUAGCUCGGGGAAACCCGAAUUAACCCUCCAUAAGAUCACAUUCAGGCAUCUGGAAGUGAUUAAAACUGCGGUGGUAAAAGAUG
rnacentral:rRNA from 1 species